AUGGUGCCUGUCUGGGUUGAGGCGAACGCUGUGUCUGAAAUUGCAACAGUGCUCGAUUGCCCCGUCUCCUCUUUCCCCUGCACCUACUUGGGGUUACCCAUGUCUUUGCACAAGAUCACGCACGGUAUGCUUCUUCCAGGUAUGCACAGAGUUGACAAGAGGCUCUCAGGCUGGUUGGCUACCUUGUUGUCAAUUGGGGGCAGGCUAACACUAGUGAAUGUAAAUUUUGUCCUAGCCGGCACCCCGAGUUACUUCCUGUCAUGUUUCCCUUGGCCUAAGGAGUCCAUCAACAAGCUGGAGGGGCUGCUGCGUGCUUUCUUCUGGCAGGGGAGAAUGUGGUCAAGGGGGGUCACUGCCUUGUCGCUUGGGAUCGUGUUCUUCUUCCUCGUGGAUCCGGUGGCCUGGGAGUUAAUGAUCUUUCCGCGCAUAAUCAAGCUAUGUUCUGCAAGUUUGUGUCUAGAGUCCUCCAGGCAUCCGAUGUUCCUUGUUACAAAUAGUUUAUCUCACAUUAUUGUGCUGACAGCAUGCCGCUGGGAACGAACAGCAUGGAACGGCCUUUUGGAAGGGUCUCAAGUCGUGCGUCCCCUUGGUGCUGAAUUCCUCUCAUUACAAAGUUGGGGAAGGUGCUCUUGCUUACUUCUGGCCGGAUCAUUGGCUUCAUGUUGGGCGACUGAAGUAUGUGCUUCCAGUCCUGUACUCCUUUGCUAA
rnacentral:rRNA from 1 species